rnacentral:misc_RNA from 1 species
AAUAAGAACGCAAAGGAUGCGUAUCUGCUUUCUAUAGAUCGGAAAGGAUUGGAUGUGGUGGGAAAAGUUUUAGGUCCAAUAAGGAGUGAUGGUUCUCGUGAAUAUCAGUGGAGGGAGUUGAGAAUUGCAUUCAGAGAAGAGGCACACACUGUUGAAACAUUCUGCCGUCAGCUUGUUGAAAUGGAGGAGGAAUCACUCGAGAGUAUCUCCAACUUUAGUGGUAUAUAAAUAGGGUGGAAUUAGCAUCGCACCGACAGAUUUGAAGAGCAAGCAACCUGUGAUGGACAGGAAUAAUUGCAUCAUGGGUCAUUUUUGACAGAAGGGGAGCUGUGAUAGAGGGUAGAUUAGUGAUCUUGUGAUUUGAGGUGUGUUCAUUAUCUGUUCUUGUAAUCUAGAUCAUAAAAGGUUAAUAACCUUAGCUGAGCUGUGACACUGUAAGUUGAG